CCUACGGGUGGCAGCAGUGGGGAAUAUUGGGCAAUGGGCGCAAGCCUGACCCAGCAACGCCGCGUGAAGGAAGAAGGCUUUCGGGUUGUAAACUUCUUUUCUCAGGGACGCAGAAAGUGACGGUACCUGAGGAAUAAGCCACGGCUAACUACGUGCCACAAGGCGCGGUAAUACGUAGGUGGCAAGCGUUAUCCGGAUUUACUGGGUGUAAAGGGCGUGUAGGGGGGAAAGCAAGUCAGAUGUUAAAACCAUGGGCUCAACCUGUGGCCUGCAUUUGAAACUGUUUUUCUUGAGUACUGGAGAGGCAGACGGAAUGCCGCGUGUAGCGGUGAAAUGCAUAGAUAUGAGGAGGAACACCAGUGGCGAAGGCGGUCUGCUGGACAGCAACUGACGCUGAGGCGCGAAAGCGUGGGGAGCGAACAGGAUUAGAUACCCGAGUAGUC
rnacentral:rRNA from 1 species